AAAUAUAUGUGGGGAGCUCACAAACGUGGGCUGAGAGUAAGCGAAAGUGCUUUGACCCUUCACCUGAUUUGGGUAAUGCCAACGUAGGGAACAAGAAAGAAUUGUUU
rnacentral:ncRNA from 2 species